UAAACAAAGAAUCAACAUCACUUAGACCAGUUGAAAACGCAGAACUAGAAUACUGUUGAUCAAGAAUACUAGAUGUUUUAGAUACACACGCCUCAAUAAUCCUAGAGGUUAACCUCGGCUGCCAAAAUAAAAAGCUUACCUCAAACAUCAAUCUAUCUUAAAUAAUGAUUUUACAAGGAUUUUUAAAAGGGGUUUAAAAACGUUAAUAAUGAUUUUACAAGAUUUUUUAAAAGGAUUAUUACCUGAGUAGUAGAUGCAGAAUGAGAAGCAAAAGGAUUUGAAGUCGUCCCAGCCUGUAAUAAACUCAAUCACUGACUUAAUAAUGAUUUUACAAGGAUUUUUAAAAGGGGUUUAAAAACGUUAAUAAUGAUUUUACAAGGAUUUUUAAAACGAUUAGUACCUGAGCAUUAGGGACAGAAUGAGAAACAAAAGGAUUUGAAGUAGUCUCAGCCUGUAAUAAGCACAAUCACUGACUUAAUAAUGAUUUUACAAGGAUUUUUAAAAUUAUAACACAAGAAGGUUAUUGAAAAACCUGCUCAACUGUCACAGAAAUUUGUUCUACAAUCAAACAUAACUGAAGCAAUCCUCCACUCUGUGAGAAUUUGUGCAUAAAAGUUGCAAGCUGUCUAUCGUUCCUAAUAUAAAGAGGAUGAGAUUGUAUGGUUGUAGACGUGGAGACUAACUUGUAACUAAGCUUCAAAGAAUUGGUUGAACUAUCUAUUUGAAAAUCCUCUACAAGAAUAUCAACCAACGCGUGAUAGGUAAUGUGCUCAUCAAUGAGCACUAAAGAAGCUCCCAAUUCAAUGUCUAAUUCAAAUUCCCAAGUCAUAUUGUUUGUCAACUUCCACAAGCCACAAACAGAAUACAAUUCUAGCAUUAUAACCUGAUAAGAUAAAUAACAACAAAAUCAACACCCACAAAAACACUGUCACUACAGAGAGAAACAAGGUUUACAAAUCGUUUUAAAGCGUAAGUAAGUAGCAUAGAAUAAUUUACAAGGGAUUUUAAAAGCUUUGAAAAGUGGUUAACAUGGUUUACAAAUCGUUUUAAAGCGUAAGUGGCAUAGAUCUAUCACGAAAGCAUAUGCAAAAGAGGUAAACACUAAAUCAGAACCAAAAUCUAUUACGAAAUAGUAUAACGAAUUCACAUAAGCAAAUCUAUCACGAAACAGUAUAACGAAUUUCAAAAGGAUUUUAGAACAGUAUAACGAAUGUACAAGGAUUUUAGAAACAAAUUCAAUCAUCAAAUCUCAAACAAAAUUCAAAUUCGAAGCUGAAGCAAAUGUCAAACUGUCGAUUGAAUCAGGAUUCAAAUAACGAAUUCACAUAAUCAACAACAAAAAUCGAAUUAACCAAUUCGAAAACGAAGAUUUAAGCUAACAUUAUAAAAUCAAACCUGGGAAACGCAAGAGAUUCGACGGCGACACACAGCUCUACUUACGACGGCGAAGAUGGGUUUUCACGGCGAGUAAACUCACUAUUUCCGACGGCAUGGGAUUCAACGGUAUUCACAAUUUCCGAUGGAGGAAGAAGAGAGAGAGUGAAGAAAUGAAUUAGGUCUGUGGGUAGCUCAUUAAGGGUAAUUUGGCGAGAAAAGUAUUAGAAAUGGUAGAAAUGAAAAUAGGAAAAAAAAAGGGUAGAGUUGCAAAAGCGCAUUGAGAAAAGGGCAUUAGAGUGAAUUAUUCUUCUUUCAAUA
rnacentral:sRNA from 1 species